UGAGAAAAACAUGUAAUGCCAUGAUCCCCAUUCCAAAUAGAACUUUCCUUUUGGACUAAAGCUUACAAGGACAAAUUCUAAAAUUGUAAAGUUUUAUACGGAAAUUUUAUUCUAAUCUUUGGCUCACAGGGGCAGGAGACCCCUACCCCCACCUUCAUCUGGAGAGAGACAUGAAGGCAGUGUUGAUUUGCGACAGGGAUUCAGGGUGCUACCACAACUGAUGCUCAGGGUCCAAGGAAACGAAGAGGUGCUGCCUUGUCCAGUGACUCCAGAUGUAAUUUCUGGACUGUGAUGAAUGCGGCCAAGGAGCAAACUAAACAUUUAAGAAGCUUGAUCCACAGUGAAGAGCAGUCCAUACCUGUAAAGAUGACAUCUUUGUU